rnacentral:rRNA from 1 species
CUAGAGCUAAUACAUGCAAACAGAGCUCCGACCGGAGACGGAAGGAGUGCUUUUAUUAGAACAAAACCAAUCGGUGGCGGGUUCGCUCGUCAUCGUGCAAUCUGGUGAUUCUGAAUAACUUUAGGCUGAUCGCACGGUCAUCGCACCGGCGACGCAUCUUUCAAAUGUCUGCCUUAUCAACUGUCGAUGGUAGGUUCUGCGCCUACCAUGGUUGUAACGGGUAACGGGGAAUCAGGGUUCGAUUCCGGAGAGGGAGCCUGAGAAACGGCUACCACAUCCAAGGAAGGCAGCAGGCGCGCAAAUUACCCACUCCCGGCACGGGGAGGUAGUGACGAAAAAUAACGAUACGGGACUCAUCCGAGGCCCCGUAAUCGGAAUGAGUACACUCUAAACCCUUUAACGAGGAUCAAUUGGAGGGCAAGUCUGGUGCCAGCAGCCGCGG